rnacentral:lncRNA from 13 species
AUGAAGGAUACACACACCCUGCUCAAUCUGCUUCUGCUGCUAGUGUACCUAGCAGGAUCAGCUUUGACCACAGAUGGAGGGAGUGGCAGUACCAAUGGUCCCUUGGAACUAACCAUAGUGGGACCUGACUUUGUUAAAGUGGGCGUGCCACGCAGCUUUGACUGUGCCGCCCAGUGCUCUCCCUCCUGCAGCUACAGAAUGAGUAUCUACGGGCAGAUUUGGCAGGGCAACAAGCUGUUGUUCACAGCUCGCCAAUGGGAGGAGUCCCUAAACCUUACAUGCACUGCAAGGAAUGAUGACUCUGGGAGGUCCUCUACAGUAUCAAAGACACUCCAGGUUUUAGCUGGACCAACCAACGUAUCGAUCACAGGCCCUGCCCUGAUGACCCCAGGGGCCCCUCAAAGCUUCCAGUGUAACGCCGACUGCAGUCCCUCCUGCAAGUACACCUGGAAGAUAAAGGGCCGAUGGCUCGGGGGACAGGGGAGCGAGAUUACCGUAACUCCCGAAGAGUUGGCCACCUCUGUUACCCUGAACUGCAAGGCCAUCAACAGUGUGUCUGGGCUCUAUGCCAUGGCAACCAGGAAAAUACCUGUGACAUCUGGUCCAUCAGAGGUCCACAUCAUAGGCCCAGAAUCUGUUGCAGUCGGCUUCAAGUCCAUGUUUCAGUGCAUUGCCAAAUGCUCUCCCGCUUGUGACUACCACUGGACCAUUGAUGGUCACACUGUCCAUGGCAGUGAGAUGGAGAUGACGGUCGAGCAACAUGUGAAGCCAGAGAAGAUUAUGUGCCACGCUCAGAAUACGUUCUCAACUAAUUUUGAGGUGGUCACCAAGACCGUACGAGUGGAAGACAAUGACAAAAAAAAGAUCUCUCAAAACAAUAUGCUUGUCAAGCUAUGUCCAGGUUGUGUUCGUACAAGCAGACCAUCUCUGGGAGGAAGCAUCAGCAUUGGACAGCAGCUGAAACCGGGUCUCGAUUGAGUACGAACACUCCUUGCUGACAACAACACCAGGCUCCAAAGCAUUAAAGCUGUAAAACAGGAAAACAGACUGAAAAUAGACAAGACAUUAUAACCUUGCAUACCCGCUACAGUGCCUUCAGAAAGUAUUCACACCCCUUGACUUUUUCCACAUUUUGUUGUGUGAGUCAGAAUUUUAAAUUUGAUACAUUUCCAUUGUUUUGUCACUGGCCUAAACACUACCCAAUAAUGUCAAUGUGGAAUUAUUAUUAUUUGUAUAUUUUUUUUAAAACUAAUUAUUUAAAAAUGAAAAUAUUAUAAGUCUUGAGUCAAUAAGUAUUCAAACCCUUUGUUAUGGCAAGCCUAAAUAAGUUCAGGAGUAAACAUGUGCGUACCAAGUCACAAUAGUGUUUAACAUGACUUUUAGAAUGACUACCUCACAAAUACAAUUAUCUGUAAGGUCCCUCAGGAGAGCAUUUAAAACAAAGAUUCAACCACAAAGACCACAAAGGUUUUCCAACGCCAAAGAAGGGCAACCUAUUGGUAGAUGGGUAUAAAUGAAUAAAAAAGCAGGCAUUGAAUAUCCCUUUUGAGCAUGGUGAAGUUAUUAAUUACACUUUGGAUGGUGUAUCAAUACACCCAGUCACUACAAAGAUACAUGUGACCUUUCUAACUCAGUUGAUGGAGAGGAGGGAAACCACUCAGGGAUUUCACCAUGAGGCCAAUGGUGACGUUAAAACAGUUACAGAGUUGAAUGUCUGUGAUAGGAAAAAACUGAGGAUGGAUCAACAACAUUGUAAUUAACAAAACUAACCUAAUUGAAAGAGUGAAAAGAAGGAUGCCUGUACAAAAUAAAAAAUAUUCCAAAACAUGCAUCCUGUUUGAAACAGGAAUACUGGAAUACUACAGUAAUACUGCAAUUCACUUUUUUGUCCUGAAUACAACGUCUUAUGUUGGGGCAAAUCCAAUACAAGUAAUGAAUAAGACGGCACACACACUGUUGAAACUCCCAAUUCACAGCUUUAUUGACAACGUUUCGAUCCGAAACGGAUCUGCGUCAGGUCAAAUCCAAUACAGCACAUUACUGAGUACCACUCUCCAUAUUUUCAAACAUAGUGGUGGCUGCAUCAUGUUAUGGGUAUGCAUGUAACCGUCAAGGACGGUGGAGUUUUUGCAGCUAAACAAAGUCAUGGAAUGGAGCUAAGCACAGGCAAAAUCCUAGAGGGAAAACCUGGUUCAGUCUGCUUUCCACCAGACACUGGGAGAUGAAUUCACCUUUCAGCAAGACAAUAACCUAAAACAAAUCUAAACAAGAGUUGCUUACCAAGAGGACAUGGAAUAUUCCUGAGUUAAAUCUGCUUGAAAAUCUAUGGCAAGACCUAAAAAGGGUUGUCUAGCAAUGAUCAACAACAAAUUUGACAGAGCUUGAAGAAUUUUGUUGCACAGUCCAGGUGUGGAAAGCUCUUAGAGAUUUACCCAGAAAGACUCGCAGCUGUAAUCGCUGCCAAAGGUGAUUGUAUUGUAUUGAAUACUUAUCUAAUCAAAAUAUGUGUGUUUUAUUUUCAUAUUUUUUGCAUAUUUUACCAUUUUUUUCCAACUUUGACAUUAUAGAGCAUUUUGUGUAGAUCGUUGACAAAAAAGUACAGUUAAAUCAAUUUUAAUCCCACUUUGUAACACAACAAAACGUUGAAAAAGUGAAGUUAAUUUGAUAUGAAUAAGCUCAUACAAUGCAAUGACAAUGAAGAUGACUGGUCCUGCUUGGUCUGUGGCAUCGGCCUGAAGUAUGGAGUCAGUUGCUGCCAAUCAUGUGGUGGAAAAAGGGUGGAAAAAGUGGUGGAAAAAGUACUCAUUCUUAUACUUGAGUAAAAGUAAAGAUACCUUUGUCACGUUCUGACCUUAAUUUCCUUUGUUUUGUCAUUUUUUAGUAUGGUCAAAAGGGCAGUCUAUGUUUGAUUUUCUAUGAUUUUGGGAUUUCUAUGUUUCGGCCUAGUAUGGUUCUCAAUCAGAGGCAGGUGUCAUUAGUUGUCUCUGAUUGGGAAUCAUACUUAGGUAGCCUGGGUUUCACUGUUUGUUUGUGGGUGUUUGUUUCCGUGUCUGUGUUUUUCACCACACGGUACUGUUUUGGUUUUUGUUCGUUUCACGUUUAUUGUUUUUGUAUCAGUUGUGUUCAUGCUGAGUAUUUCUUAUUAAAAGAACCAUGGACACUUACCACGCCGCAUAUUGGUCCUCUGAUCCUUCUCGCCUCUCCUCUUCAGAGGAAGAGGAGGAAAACCUUUACAGCCUUAAUAGAAAAUGACUCAAGUGAAAGUCACCCAGUAAAAUACUACUUGACUAAAAGUUUAAAUAUACUUCAGUAUCAAAAGUAAAUGUAGUUGAUAAAAUAUACUUAAGUAUCAAAAGUAAAAGUACUAAUAAUAAAAAAAUCCUUAUAUUAAGCAAACCAAACGGCACAAUUUUCAUUUUUUUUAUUGGAUAGCCAGGGUCACACUCCAACACUCAGACAUAAUUUAAAAACAAAGCAUUUGUGUUUAGUGAGUCCGCCAGAUCAGAGGCAGUAGGGAUGACCAGGGAUGGUCUCUUGAUAAGGGUGCGAAUUUGACCAUUUUCUGUCUUGCUAAGCAUUGAAAAUGUAACGAGGGCUUUUGGGUGUCAGGGAAAAUGUAUGGAGUUAAAAGAGCAUAAUUUUCAUUAGGAAUGUAGUAAAGUAAAAGUUGUCCAAAUAUGAAUAAUAAAGUACAGAUACCCCCCAAAACUACUUAAGUAGUACUUUGAAGUAUUUUUUACUUAAGUACUUUACACCACUGCUUUCCACCAGCACUGUACCUCACUGUACCAUCCUCUGGUCCAACCAGCUGUGGGAUGUUGACCCCAAUGAUUUCUAUAAACCCUGGAUUGCUGAUGCUAUGUAUUGACCAUUGAGAGGCUAUGAAGACAUCGGUCGGCCAUAUUGGCACUCCCCAGUAGGAGCAGUCCUCCAUAGGAAUGAAUGGAAUUUACUGUAUAUAUAAUGCUGUCCUUCAUCACGCCAUCACGCCAGAAAUAUCUCACAAAGUGUUCACUCUGGUCUUUCUGCUGAAAGACAAAUUACAGAACAAAAAAUUGUUUAGUAAAAUAUGAAAGCGUCCAUCAAUGUAAUUGUCUGCAUCCUUUCCAAU